CCUUUCUUGUUUCUGCGCCGGGUUACCGUGGAGCUGCUCUCCGUCUUCCGGAAUGGCGGGGACCUCGGCGUGCACGGUUUCUUGGCCCCUAACGCGCCCGGGCGCCGGGCAGGGGCGCUCGGUCGCCCUGAGGGUGGUGAGACGCCUUUCGCAGCCGGGCCGGCCCCGAGGAUCCCGUGUCCUGAGUCCGUGGAGGGCGGAGGGCGGAGGGCAGCGGCCUGGCCUCGGCCACGUUGCGCGUGGACCGUAGGAGGCUCCGAAGCGGCUCCCAGGCUGCGUACACCCACGCCAGGAAAUGGGAGAUGGAUGGGUUUGAGUGCAUUUGAUUUUAUUGGUCAUCGACUGAGUGUCAGGGAGAUACUCAUAUAAGCGGGGAAUUUUUUCGUGUGAAAGAGAAAGGCCUCACCAUAGGUAGGCAUGUAUGCCUACGGCAUCACAGUUAAGAUCAAGUCAGCGUAGGAGUAAAGUGCCGUUUAAGGUUUAGAUCUUGAUAAUUGUUUCAAGACGCAGAACUCGGCGAGAGUGUCCUCAACUUUGCAGGUGAAAGCUGGAUGCUUGAAGCAAAGACUGCUGCCAGCUGAACACAGAGCACAAAGGUGACCUAAGGAUGUCCUUGAUGAAGAAUUCAAAAACAUAGGAAAUCUUGACGAGAGUUGCUUGGAUCAUUUAAAACUCCCAGGAGCCUGAGGGGUACUAAAAUUACUGCUUUUGGACAGUCUAUAAAAACACACUUAAAACAGUAGGGCUACAAAUAAAUAUUGUGCUUCGUGGAGGCUUGUGUAUUAAGUAAUUAAGUACCGGCAAAUAGCAUUCUUCACUGAAAGAUCAAAGGGAAAGGAGGGAGGGUUUCUCCUUCCUCCCCCAGCAACUUCAAAAUGGUUAAAUCUCAGUAGUUAAGAUUAGUAUUCAGUGCAACCAGUUAAGAAUAGCCUUGUGAGAUAGAAGUUUAUGCUACACCCAAGGAGAAAUAAGUGCUUUCUUUCAGUGCCUUCUGCAUGAUGAACUGAACUAGACUAGCUGGUUUCUAGGUCACAGGUGUUUUACAUUGUCACUGCAUUUUUAUUUUUACUAGAUGGCAGUCAGCACAUCCUCUGCCUUCACUUUUCGGGAAAGAACAAAUAGUCUGAGCAUUCAAAAAAUUUAUUGAACUUUUCAUUAAUGUACUAGGAAGUGGGAACACAAGGGUGAGCAAAACAGUUCCUCCCUCUGGAAGCUGAGAGUUGAAUGGCAGAAAUGUCAUCGCAAAUAUAAAACUUACUUUGUGAGACAAGUCCCAUGCAUGAGUUGACUAAGACAGAGAAACCUGAGAAAGCGGUUGAGCCUAAAGGUAGGUGUCAUUUUUGCAAGGCAAAGUUGGGGAUGGCAUGUGCAGAGGCCUUGGGCUAGAAAAGGUCCAGAUUUGUGAUAGUUGUAGUUACUUUCCCUCUGAAGUGUCCUGAUUUAUAAAUGAGUGCUUAAUGAGGCUUGAAGGUGGCUGUUAGCUGAGCCCCGAGUAUAACAAAACGAGCCUAAAUAACAGGUAAGAGACCAGAUCAUUUACGGCUUUGUUUACUGCAAGGGGAAACCUAGGGUAGUUAAUACCCGUCUGAGAAAGGCUGUGCUGGACCAGCUGGAGAGUACUGCAGUUGCCUAGGCCAGAGACAACCACCAUGGCCCGGGGUGGUAAAAUCUGUGGAGAUUAGGUGUAGAGGGCAAAGCUCACAGGACUUGGUAAUAGGGGAGGUGUCUAUAACGACUGGUAGGUGUGUAGUCUUGCACUUUCACAAGCAUAAUGGUCCUAAAUCCUGCUAGAGAGCAGCAUUUUAAACUAGUUGAAUUGGGAUUGCCUUUGAGACAUCUUUUAAGUGGCCUUCUGGCAGAACACUGGUCUAUAGACUAAGCUAUAGGAAUACUUUUUUAAGGCUACGGGCAUAAAUGAGAUCCACCUAGAGGGAGAGGACUGAGCUUUUGAGUGAGAAAUUGGCGAGGUAGAAUAGCAUCUUACUGAAGAGCAGUAAAGGAUGGUCAGAAAUGUAGAAAACAAUGGAAUACUGCACUAAAAAUGUUGCAAGGCAGCCCAAAAGUUACCCUUAGGCUUUGGUACACAAAGCAGUUUUAGUGACGUCUGUAGUGGAGCAGUGGGGGAGAGUCUUGGUUUAAAGUCAGGAUUAGGAGAUGGGUUGAGGACACAGGCUACAAAUAACCCUUUCAAGAAACUUGAAGAGAGAAAGAUAACUGGGGAGGGAUUUGUGGUUGUGAAAGUUGGUUGGCUUUUUUUUUUUGGUGGGAGAGUUAACAGUUUAAAACGAAGUCACAAGGGUCUAGCUGAGAGGAGUAAGUUGAUAGGGAUAAGGCUGAAGGAGAUUGGGCUCCAAAGCACAGGUGCAGGGACAGACUAGUGUUGGUGGCAGCUCUGGAGAAAUUUGUGGGAGGGAGGUGGUGAAAUGUCCUGCAUGAGUAUUUCUAUUUUCCCCGUGAUAGUCACCCUCAAAUGAAUUAGUCUUUGGGGAGUUAGGUAGCUAGGCAGGAUGGAGGGACCAUUUGUGGUUGAGGGUUGUGAAUUUAUAAGCUGAGGUCAACUGAAAUCCACGCAGUCUGUUUUCUGAAAACACAAGGACAGUAGAAAUUAAAAGCAACACUUAAAAGCUUUUUACAUUUGUAAAUAACCAGUGGAACUUAAUACCACAAAAUACAGUAUUACAAAGAACAUAUUUAUAUGAAAUAAAAACCAUCUGCAGUCUGAAA